CCUACGGGUGGCUGCAGUGAGGAAUAUUGGUCAAUGGACGAGAGUCUGAACCAGCCAAGUAGCGUGAAGGAUGACUGCCCUAUGGGUUGUAAACUUCUUUUAUAUGGGAAUAAAAUGUUCCACGUGUGGGAUUUUGUAUGUACCAUAUGAAUAAGGAUCGGCUAACUCCGUGCCAGCAGCCGCGGUAAUACGGAGGAUCCGAGCGUUAUCCGGAUUUAUUGGGUUUAAAGGGAGCGUAGGUGGAUUGUUAAGUCAGUUGUGAAAGUUUGCGGCUCAACCGUAAAAUUGCAGUUGAAACUGCAUCCCUUGAGUGCGCGAGAAGUAUGCGGAAUGCGUGGUGUAGCGGUGAAAUGCAUAGAUAUCACGCAGAACUCCGAUUGCGAAGGCAGCAUACCGGCGCCCGACUGACGCUGAGGCACGAAAGCGUGGGGAUCGAACAGGAUUAGAUACCCCUGUAGUC
rnacentral:rRNA from 1 species